rnacentral:tRNA from 1 species
GCGCGGGUAGCUCAGCGGUAGAGCGGCUCGUUUACACCGAGUUGGUCGGGGGUUCGAUCCCCUCCCCGCGCA